AUUCAAUUAUGAUCAAUCUGAAAAAUGACAUUUGUAUAACUACCAAGUAAUAGGCUGAGAAGUUUGAAGUUCAAAAAGGCUUCAUUCAACUCAAUCAACCAGCUACUUUUUCAAAAAUCCCUCGUGCCACCUUCUAUUAUGAAUAACGGCUUUUCAGUGGGUAAUAGGGUCAGAAGGCCUUAUUAAGGCCAAUAACGAAGAACAAAAACACUUUAAGACAUGUCAAACAGCUUCAUCGUCUACGUAAUUCACAGCUAAGUCCCAAUAAUGAGGAACACCAGCAUCCACAAAAACUUUACGGCCGGCUGCUUCAGUGAUGCAAUCAUGAACGCUGAACUUAUUGAAGCUGGGUUUCGCAACACUUCCUUGCCACACCAGAACACACUUAUUGACAGUCUUAUCAUCAUCUGAAUCUUCAUCUUCUUCUUUCUCUUUUGAAACUUCACUCCAAUUAAUACGCCUGAGCAUAAGUUUCCCAUACCUCUUAAUCGACUUGCUUCCACCCUCAACCACAACAAUACUAAUACCAUCGCAGAUCACAGCACAUCCAGUCAAACGGUUCUCUUGAGCAUUAACAUCAACUCUAAAGCGGGACUUCGGAUGUGAGAGAUCAUUUAUCUUGUAAAGAGAGACAAGAGUCUCCGGUGUAUUUGGGUCAUCAAACAGCUUCCUUUCUUUUUUCUCCCGCAGCUCAGCAGGAGUAAGCUUGCGUGCAAUGUUUCUAUCUAUGUGAGCCUGUUCACGCUCAGCAGCUGCACUACGGACUUCUUUUUCAAGCCGAGUAGGAUCUUGAGUUGCUUCAGUGCCAAGUACUUUCAUUAAAUUGCUAAUCUUGACCUUUGGUUUUGGCGGUUCUAUGACACCCUGUCUAAUCAUCUCCUGUCGAUCCUUCUCCUUAGCUAUUCGUCUUUGUGUCCGGAGUUUCUUCUGUUCUUGCUUAGUUAGUUUGAGUGGUUGAGGUGGUGGAGGGGCAGGCUCAGCAGGUGGUUCAAUUGGUCGAGGAUGCUCCACAUAAAUAGUC
rnacentral:sRNA from 1 species